GCCGUUCCAAGAUGCUGUCAAAAUUAAAUCAAUAUGGCUACUGGAAGGCAAACAUUGAAUAUUAUUCUAUCAGGUUCUUAUGGUUUUAGAUCAUUUUAGUUGUUGUACAAAGAUUAAUUUAACAUUUUCUCUGGAAGUAUUAAUUUAGAAAGAUAAUAUGCCUCAUUGGUGUUGUGUUUUGAAGUGUGAAAUGCAAAGUAAUCGUGAUAAAGUUAGCUUUUACCACUUACCAUCAGUGCUACAUUCUAAGCACAAAACUGAACCAAUUUAACUAAAUAAGUUAUAGUUAUCAUCUGAGAGACAACAACAAUGGUAAAAUGCAAUAAAAUAUAAAGAUUUUACUAGCAAAAUGGAAAUUCCCCUGUAAUCAUCUUAUAUCUGGAAAACCAGCCGACUUAACUGAUAAUAACAAUCCAGAUUGGGUUCCUUCAAUAAAUAUGGGGUAUAUAAACACAAUGAAAUGAGUUCCCCAAAAUCUAAAAUGGGAAUUAAGGUACCAAAGGAGAAUUAAAAGAAAAGGGUACCUACAAGAAAAAA
rnacentral:lncRNA from 1 species